rnacentral:sRNA from 1 species
UUGUAGCUCUGUUUUGCGAUAGGGAUUGCAGCAGAAAUCCUUUUGGAGCGUCCCGCAUCAAAAGAUUGUAGCGUAAAGCCCGACCCUUU